ensembl:snRNA U6 U6 spliceosomal RNA
UUGCUUGCUUUGACAGCACAUACACUAAAAUUGGAACGAUACAGAGAAGAUGAGCAUGGCACCUUGCAAGGAUGACACACAUUCAUGAAGCAAUCCCUAUUUUU